AAAUCAAAUUAGGUAGUUGCAUGGAAUUUCCGUGUUACUAUAGGUGAGAAUGAGACGCAGAACCGGAAGCCGAACCAUAGCAUUCAAGUUCCAACUCUUCAUUUCGCUCUGUUGCAGUGUUAAGCCACGAGGGAGAGAGAGUGAGAGAGUGAGAGUUAGAGCAAAGCAAAACGCACAAUGUCUUUUGCAGCAUCUAGGGUUUUCAAGGGCUGCAGAGCCCUCUUAGCCCCAACGAAAUCCGCUGCCUCUACAACAACCACCGCUGCGUCAAAAUCCAAAGCCACAAAGGCAGCAGCACGGAAACAGAAGCCAAAUCCGACAAAGCCUCUUAAGCCUUCUGGCAUACUGAAAGUCACCCCCGUAUCCCCUGCUCUUCGCGACUUUCUCGGUGUUCCUGAAUCUUCUCGCAGUGAUGCGGUGAAGAAUAUCUGGUCUUAUAUCAAGCAGCACAACUUGCAGAACCCUGCUGAUAAGAAGGAGAUCUUUUGUGAUGAGAAGCUGAAGAUCAUUUUUGAUGGAAAAGAGAAAGUUGGAUUCCUGGAGAUUGGAAAGUUGCUAUCACGCCAUUUUGUGAAGACUGGUUAAAUGUCAUUGUUGGGUGUUUAAUUUAUGGCUUGACUCUUCGUGGAGCCAGCUCUAGACUACUAAUCUUGAAUCUAUGUGCUGUAAUGUUGAUGGUUUCCUGUUGUUUUAGAGCCUGGCCAGGCUUUUAUGGAUUGUAUUGCAACUGGAACAAGUCGUCAGCUGGACAUAUUGUAAAAAUGGCUAGGAAAAAAGGACUUGCAUUUUAACCUGUUUUCUGAUAUCAAUUCAUUAUGAUCUUUCAUUGGCAGAUAAUCUGAUUGAUGAUCUGUGAUUAGGUAAAUGCCUACUGAGCCUUCCCCCCUCAAAUGGUAGACAUUUUUAUUGAGCCCAGGGAAGUAAUGCAUGGAAGAUUUUGUAUAUAGUAGCCAUGCUUUAGAGUGUGGAUUUUGGCUCAUGGAAAGUUGUUUACCCUGUAUCGAGCCCUUAACGUCUAUUUUUCUCUAGUUAGUGGGGACUGUGGCAUGACAUGGAGUGUGCUAACAGUUUGUAAUUGUGUUCCUUUCCUCUAUAUGAGAGCAAUAUUUGUCAAGCA
rnacentral:misc_RNA from 1 species